UCCAAAGCCUUGCAAAUAAACAUUCUGAAUCUCCUGCAAUCCAGUUUAACAUUAGCAGAUUGCUCUCACCUGGUUCUUGGGCCUUUACAUUUUUCUUUUGGUUUGCUAAUUCCCCAUCUACCACCUCCAUCUUUCUUUUUCUCUUUUCAGAACAGGGCAGUAUAGAGAAGAUCUAAUGGUCAAGUUUUUAAGCACCUGGCACAUUUCUACUUUUUAUAAAAAGAAUAUUAUUGUACAGCUUUCCUCUUGCCUGAAAAACUCACUUGGACAAAGCCCAGCACUGGUCUCAUUUGCAGGAUAGAAGAUGAAGUUGAGAAGCUAUGGAGAGGCGAGCAGAGGAAGAGAGGGGAAACAGAAAGAAGGAAGACCUCCCAUAACAUCUGUGAACCUGGCCGGAUGCAGUGGGUCACGCCUGUAAUCCAACACUUUGGGAGGCCAAGGGCAUGGACAAAUGGAUGGUGGCCUGGUGUGGCUUCUCUGCUCUUGGCUGUGUUCCUCCGCACCAAUUAAUCACCAUACCCCAGCGUGACAGGUCCGGCUCUUUGCUGCAGCUCAUCCUCCGGCUGUUCCGGUGAUUACUCUAAAGCCUUCCCCAGAUGCAAGAAUUUCUCAAUGUUUUUUUCUUCCCUAUUGCUCCAUGUGCUGGCUACUGCACCGAAAGGGGCUGUGGUUCCCUCCCACAGAGCUAACUGGUCAGUAAGGAACCCUGAGGACCUAAUUUGAGUUCAGGCCCUGUCACCCACUAGUUUUACCAUCUUGGACAUGUCAGUUGAGAUUUGCCUAAGCUUCCUCAUCUUUGGAGAGAAGAUAAUAGCAAGUACUUGGCCAUCUUCAAGAAAUAAGUAAUAAUCUGAUGAGGGAUUUUAAAUUAUUUUUUUAAAAUCCCUUCUCAGAAUUGUGUUUUUAAAUAAAUAAAAUAUAUAGGACUGCCAGCAAAACCAAUUGUAUUAAAACACAAUUAUCAAAGUAUUAAAUCAAUUAAUAUAAAAAUAAAUUUCUAUUAGUGCAUUAAAUAAGAAGAUUUAGCAGUGGGUCUAAAAACCACAGUGUUUUCAAGCUGGUGAUGAGUCUAAAUGAUACUUUGAGGUAUCUACAACAGUAGUGAUGUGAUAUGAAAGUAUCUGAUUUCAUUUGGUGACAAAGUCAAAGUCACAGGUACUGCCAGGACUGUGACUUGUUACUUAUGUUCAUAAUUUUAAAAAAUGCUAAGUUUUAGUUAGAGUUCAGUGA
rnacentral:lncRNA from 1 species